rnacentral:rRNA from 1 species
UACGUAGGGUGCGAGCGUUGUCCGGAAUUACUGGGCGUAAAGAGCUCGUAGGUGGUUUGUCGCGUUGUCCGUGAAAACUCACAGCUUAACUGUGGGCGUGCGGGCGAUACGGGCAGACUGGAGUACUGCAGGGGAGACUGGAAUUCCUGGUGUAGCGGUGAAAUGCGCAGAUAUCAGGAGGAACACCGGUGGCGAAGGCGGGUCUCUGGGCCGACACUGACGCUGAGGCGCGAAAGCUAGGGGAGCAAACGGG